AACGUAGGAGGCAAGCGUUAUCCGGAGUUACUGGGCGUAAAGCGUAUGUAGGCGGUUUUACAAGUUGGGUGUGAAAGCGCCCGGCUAAACUGGGCGAGGCCACGUAAGACUGUGAGACUAGAGGGUGGUAGAGGGGCGUGGAAUUCCGGGUGUAGCGGUGAAAUGUGUAGAGAUCCGGAGGAACACCAGUGGUGCAGACGGCGCCCUGGGCCACUACUGACGCUGAGAUACGAAAGCGUGGGGAGCGAACGGG
rnacentral:rRNA from 1 species